rnacentral:rRNA from 1 species
UACAGAGGGUGCAAGCGUUAAUCGGACUUACUGGGCGUAAAGCGCACGUAGGCGGCUUGGUAUGUCGGGUGUGAAAUCCCCGGGCUCAACCUGGGAACUGCAUCCGAAACUGCCUUGCUGGAGUAUGGGAGAGGGAAGCGGAAUUUCCGGUGUAGCGGUGAAAUGCGUAGAUAUCGGAAGGAACAUCAGUGGCGAAGGCGGCUUCCUGGACCAAUACUGACGCUCAGGUGCCAAAGCGUGGGGAGCAAACAGG